rnacentral:rRNA from 1 species
GAUGAACGCUGGCGGCGUGCUUAACACAUGCAAGUCGAACGAACCUUCGGGUUAGUGGCGGACGGGUGAGUAACGCGUGAGAAUCUGCCCUCAGGAGGGGGACAACAGCUGGAAACGGCUGCUAAUACCCCAUAUGCCGCGAGGUGAAAUGAAUUUCGCCUGAGGAUGAGCUCGCGUCUGAUUAGCUAGUUGGUGCAGGUAAUGGCUCACCAAGGCAUCGAUCAGUAGCUGGUCUGAGAGGAUGAUCAGCCACACUGGGACUGAGACACGGCCCAGACUCCUACGGGAGGCAGCAGUGGGGAAUUUUCCGCAAUGGGCGAAAGCCUGACGGAGCAACGCCGCGUGAGGGAUGAAGGCCUCUGGGCUGUAAACCUCUUUUAUCAAGGAAGAAGAUCUGACGGUACUUAAGGAUAAGCCACGGCUAAUUCCGUG